GUUCUUAAUAGUGGAAAACCUUCCCCAGCUGUGGUCAGAGGGAGACGUUACUAGGGAAGAUUGGUUAGAGGGAUGCAGCGAUGCUGGCUUUGGAGAUGGAGAAAGGGCCGUCUCCGGAAGCUGGAAAGGCAAGGAAAUGAAUCCUUCCGCGGACCCUUCAGCAGGGGAGCAGGCCUGUUGACACCCUGAUUUUAGCCCUGGAAGACCUGUGUCAGACUUCUGACCUACAGAACUAUCUUAUCCCCUGCUGGACAGCAAAGGGAGUGAACCUCCUCUACCUUACGAACGCAGAGCAUGCCCGUCAAGAGCCACCACCAGCGCUGAAUGGAGAUGGUGGAAAAAUGACUGUGUUUAUCUGGACUUCCUGCCAACGAACGCUGGACUCCUCAUGCCUGGAUUUGGACGCCAACCACCUGCCUUCUAACACCUUCCUCUAUUGCCUCUUGCUCAAGAACCCAUGAAGGUGUAUGCUGUGUGAAAACAGAAAUCGUGUGGGUUUGCUGCUGUCUCCCCUGUGCCCAGCAAAAUGUUCAGCUCAUGGAGGCACUUUACAUAUUUGUGGAAUGAAAAAUGAAAACGAUCAAAGUUCUAAGAGAAACAAGCAAGUUUCCACAGAAUUUACUAUAGACACUUCCCAUUACUCAUCAUGAUGCUUUCUUGGGAAAAUGGCACCCAACUCAAAGGCAUUAACAUUUAAAUUCUAACAAGGUUACUGUAUUGAAAAGCUUUAUUUUAUUUCUCUAAAAGCUAAGCAACUUAGAAGAGUUGAUCGCUUGCUGCUCCCUCCACCAUUUUAACUUUCCACCCACCACAUCUCAACCUGCUGAAAUCCGGCUUUUGUCCCCAUUGCUGUAUUUCCAACGUGUCUCACUAAGGUCACCAAUCACCUCCUAAUUGAUAAAUAAACUGGAA
rnacentral:lncRNA from 1 species